CUUCCUCCUCCUGGCUCCCAACUUGUUUCUUCUUUCUUAUGUGCCAGUUGCUGUGCUGAGGAUAUGAAGCUAAAUAAGCCUCUCUCCUUUUCCUCAUGAAGCUCAAAAGCUUAGAUAGGAAGCAAAUAAAUAUAAUAUAGCAUGAUAAUUGCAAGAAUAUUAACAUGUCCAAAAGUUAAAGAGAGAAAGCAUAAAGAAGAAAGUGAUGAGCUCUGAGGGGUUGAGCACCCAUCAAAAGCUCUGCAGAGGGGACCAUCAUUAACGGCAUUUACGAAGACAUCCACUUAUUCCAACAGGAGGAAGACCAACGCUUCUUAUCAUAAACACAAGUUCCUGCUAUACACAACACAUCCUUGAAUUCUAGGGAAGCCAAGAUGUACAUGAAAUGACUGCAGGUCUUAAAGGUCUUGAAUCUAAUUGUGGCACUGGGGCAUAUGUAGAGAUAAAUAUCACGUAGCAUAUGCUAAGGUGAUUUCGAAGAUCUAUUCUAUCUUAAGACACUGUAAGUCUAAUUAUUAAAUGAGCAAUACAGACAUUUAGUCAAAGUGUGUUCUGUU
rnacentral:lncRNA from 10 species